AAUCUUUGCAAUGUGCGAAAGCACGACAAGGUUAAUCCGAGUGAUUUCUGCUAAAGAAAUCUUUUGCAAGUCAUAAAACCACUAGUGAAUAAGGGGUGGGCAAGUUCUGGUGUCAGCCGCCGCGGUAAAACCAGCACCUCAAGUGGUCAGGAGGGUUAUUGGGCCUAAAGCAUCCGUAGCCGGCUCUGUAAGUUUUCGGUUAAAUCCAUGUGCUCAACGCAUGGGCUGCCGAAAAUACUGCAUAGCUAGGGAGUGGGAGAGGUAGACGGUACUCGGUAGGAAGGGGUAAAAUCCUUUGAUCUAUCGAUGACCACCUGUGGCGAAGGCGGUCUACCAGAACACGUUCGACGGUGAGGGAUGAAAGCUGGGGGAGCAAACCGGAUUAGAUACCCGGGUAGUCCCAGCUGUAAACGAUGCAGACUCGAUGAUGCAUUGGCAUAUAGCCAGUGCAGUGUCGCAGGGAAGCCGUUAAGUCUGCCGCCUGGGAAGUACGUACGCAAGUAUGAAACUUAA
rnacentral:rRNA from 1 species